rnacentral:rRNA from 1 species
AGGAAAUUAAGUACGGAAGUUCCUGAUUUCACGCUGUCAAGAAAAGCCUCUAGGAAGAGUAGUACUGCCCGUACCGCAAACCGACACAGGUAGAUGAGGAGAGAAUCCUAAGGUGAGCGAGAGAACUCUCGUUAAGGAACUCGGCAAAAUGACCCCGUAACUUCGGGAGAAGGGGUGCUCUAUUAGGGUGCAAGCCCGAGAGAGCCGCAGUGAAUAGGCCCAGGCGACUGUUUAGCAAAAACACAGGUCUCUGCAAAACCGUAAGGUGACGUAUAGGGGCUGACGCCUGCCCGGUGCUGGAAGGUUAAGAGGAGUGCUUAGCUUCGGCGAAGGUACGAAUUGAAGCCCCAGUAAACGGCGGCCGUAACUAUAACGGUCCUAAGGUAGCGAAAUUCCUUGUCGGGUAAGUUCCGACCCGCACGAAAGGCGCAACGAUCUGGGCACUGUCUCAACGAGAGACUCGGUGAAAUUAUAGUACCUGUGAAGAUGCAGGUUACCCGCGACAGGACGGAAAGACCCCGUGGAGCUUUACUGCAACCUGAUAUGGAAUGUUUGUACCGCUUGUACAGGAUAGGUAGGAGCCGAAGAGACGUGUGCGCUAGCAUACGAGGAGGCAAUGGUGGGAUACUACCCUGGCUGUAUGACCAUUCUAACCCGCCACGCUUAGCGCGUGGGGAGACAGUGUCAGGUGGGCAGUUUGACUGGGGCGGUCGCCUCCUAAAGAGUAACGGAGGCGCCCAAAGGUUCCCUCAGAAUGGAUGGAAAUCAUUCGCAGAGUGUAAAGGCACAAGGGAGCUUGACUGCGAGACUGACAAGUCGAGCAGGGACGAAAGUCGGGCUUAGUGAUCCGGUGGUUCCGCAUGGAAGGGCCAUCGCUCAACGGAUAAAAGCUACCCCGGGGAUAACAGGCUUAUCUCCCCCAAGAGUCCACAUCGACGGGGAGGUUUGGCACCUCGA